GACGAACGCUGGCGGCGCGCUUAACACAUGCAAGUCGAGCGAAGCGGCGGACGGGUGAGUAACACGUGAGUAACCUGCCUUAGACAUUGGGAUAGCCUCGGGAAACCGGGAUUAAUACCAAAUGGUCUAAGAUGGACUCGCGUCCCAUUAGCUAGUUGGUGGGUAACGGCCCACCAAGGCGACGAUGGGUAGCCGGGAUGAGAGGGAGAACGGAGACAUAGGCACUGAGAAACAGUGCGAAAUCUGCGGGAGGCAGCAGUGGGGGAUGUUGCACUAUGGAGGGAACUCUGAUGGAGCGACGCCGCGAAAACAAAGCAGGCGUUCGAGAAGUAAAGUUCUUUUAUAUGGGAAGCGGUACCAUAAGAAAAAGCCCCGGCUAACUACGUGCCAGCAGCCGCGGUAAUAC
rnacentral:rRNA from 1 species